rnacentral:rRNA from 1 species
GACGAACGCUGGCGGCGUGCUUAACACAUGCAAGUCGAACGGACUACUUUGCUUCGGUAAGGUGGUUAGUGGCGAACGGGUGAGUAACGCGUAGACAACUUACCUCUUAGACGGGGACAACAUCGCGAAAGCGGUGCUAAUACCGAAUGAAGUGACUUUCCUGCAUGGGAGAGAUACUAAAGGUGGCCUCUAUUUAUAAGCUACCACUGAGAGAUGGGUCUGCGUCUGAUUAGCUAGUUGGCGGGGUAACGGCCCACCAAGGCGACGAUCAGGAGCCGGUCUGAUAGGAUGAACGGCCACAUUGGGACUGAGACACGGCCCAAACUCCUACGGGAGGCAGCAGUGGGGAAGCUUCCGCAAUGGACGAAAGUCUGACGGAGCAACGCCGCGUGAGUGAAGAUGGUUUUCGUAUCGUAAAGCUCUGUUGUUUGAGACGAAUGUGCCUGUUUCGAAUAGGGAUAGGUAAUGACGGUAUUAAACGAGAAAGCCACGGCUAACUACGUGCCAGCCGCCGCGGUAA